rnacentral:rRNA from 1 species
CCUACGGGAGGCUGCAGUGGCGAAUAUUGGGCAAUGGGCGCAAGCCUGACCCAGCAACGCCGCGUGAAGGAAGAAGGCUUUCGGGUUGUAAACUUCUUUUCUCAGGGACGAAGAAAGUGACGGUACAUGCGGAAUAAGCCACGGCUAAGUACGUGCCAGCAGCCGCGGUAAUACGUAGGUGGAAAGCGUGAUCCGGAUUUAUUGGGUGUAAAGGGCGUGUAGGCGGGAGCGCAAGUCAGAUGUGAAAACUCAGGGCUCAACCCUGGGCCUGCAUUUGAUACUGUGUGUCUUGAGUGCUGGAGAGGCAAGCGGAAUUCCGGGUGUAGCGGUGAAAUGCGUAGAUAUACGGAGGAACACCAGUGGCGAAGGCGGAUUGCUGGACAGUAACUGACGCUGAGGCACGAAGGCGUGGGGAGCAAACAGGAUUAGAUACCCCUGUAGUC